GGCAAUAGUGUAGUGGUCAUCAUCGGGAUUUUGAUUUAGUUCCUAGAGGCAAUCUUCCCGGAACCCAGGUUCGAACCCUGGUAUUGCCU